rnacentral:rRNA from 1 species
GCUCAGAUUGAACGCUGGCGGCAGGCCUAACACAUGCAAGUCGAGCGGUAGAGAGAAGCUUGCUUCUCUUGAGAGCGGCGGACGGGUGAGUAAUGCCUAGGAAUCUGCCUGGUAGUGGGGGAUAACGCUCGGAAACGGACGCUAAUACCGCAUACGUCCUACGGGAGAAAGCAGGGGACCUUCGGGCCUUGCGCUAUCAGAUGAGCCUAGGUCGGAUUAGCUAGUUGGUGGGGUAAUGGCUCACCAAGGCGACGAUCCGUAACUGGUCUGAGAGGAUGAUCAGUCACACUGGAACUGAGACACGGUCCAGACUCCUACGGGAGGCAGCAGUGGGGAAUAUUGGACAAUGGGCGAAAGCCUGAUCCAGCCAUGCCGCGUGUGUGAAGAAGGUCUUCGGAUUGUAAAGCACUUUAAGUUGGGAGGAAGGGCAGUUGCUUAAUACGUAACUGUCUUGACGUUACCGACAGAAUAAGCACCGGCUAACUCUGUGCCA